AAGUCGACAAUCCAUCUUGAGUUGAUUUUUCUAUAAGAUGAGAGAUGAGGAGAGUCUCAUUCUCCUACAUGUUGCUAGCCGAUUAUCCCAGUACCAUUUGUUGAAUAGUGUGUCCUUUCCCCACUUUAUAUUUUGGCUUGCUUUGUUGAAGACCAGUUGGCUCUAAGUAAUUAAGG